rnacentral:rRNA from 1 species
UACGGAGGGGCUAGCGUUGUUCGGAAUUACUGGGCGUAAAGCGUGCGCAGGCGGUUUUGUAAGACAGGCGUGAAAUCCCCGGGCUCAACCUGGGAAUGGCGCUUGUGACUGCAAAGCUGGAGUGCGGCAGAGGGGGAUGGAAUUCCGCGUGUAGCAGUGAAAUGCGUAGAUAUGCGGAGGAACACCGAUGGCGAAGGCAAUCCCCUGGGCCUGCACUGACGCUCAUGCACGAAAGCGUGGGGAGCAAACAGG